rnacentral:rRNA from 1 species
UACGUAGGGGCUAGCGUUGUCCGGAUUUAUUAGGCGUAAAGCGCGUGUAGGCGGCCAGAUAGGUCUGCUGUGAAAACUCGAGGCUCAACCUCGAGCUGUCGGCGGAAACCAUUUGGCUAGAGUCCGGAAGAGGAGAGUGGAAUUCCCGGUGUAGCGGUGAAAUGCGCAGAUAUCAGGAGGAACACCGAUGGCGAAGGCAGGUCUC